UACGUAGGGGGCAAGCGUUGUCCGGAUUUAUUGGGCGUAAAGCGCGUGUAGGCGGCUUGGUAGGUCAGCUGUGAAAACUCGAGGCUCAACCUCGAGCUGUCGGUUGAAACCACCUUGCUAGAGUCCGGAAGAGGAGAGUGGAAUUCCUGGUGUAGCGGUGAAAUGCGCAGAUAUCAGGAAGAACACCCGUGGCGAAGGCGGCUCUCUGGAACGCAACUGACGCUGAGACGCGAAAGCGUGGGGAGCAAACAGG
rnacentral:rRNA from 1 species